rnacentral:sRNA from 1 species
GGGAAACGUCACAGGCUUACAUUUAUGUCAAAUUUAUUUUCCCCGAGAUACUCCGGGACUUAAUGCGAAAGAUCAAGGAAGAAGUAUCCAAACUCCGUGUCAAUCACACUUACCAUUUUACAUUUGGUUGCACAAUAAAUCAGGAAGACGAAAGAAUCCUUCACCAGAAGCUGAUCUGUCUAAAUGAAAGGCUAAGGCACUUAGCCGUCAGCUGGACUGGAGAAGAAAGGGACCACACCUAGAUGCGUUUCCUGGGCUUUCUAUGUAGAAAUAUUCAGCCAUACUCUCUUAGGGUCGUUUUAAAAUGCCCAACCGGUGGAUUUCUGAAAACUGUUAAACUGUAAGUAUAUAUGGAUUUGUUAAACCAGAUAUUAUUUUACGAUGCAAAAGUUAUCUCCUUAUUCAUGUUGUAAUGUGACCGGUCAGUAUUGAAAACAAAGGAGCAGAGUCUGGGUUAUUGCUUGACCAGAACCAGAAUGUUCCACUCCACACUUUGGCUGGUCACCCGACUGCAUAUCUAGCCUCAAUAACAGCUCUCCUUUUUUUCCAUUCUGACCGAGAAUUGCCCCGGAGUUACACAUUAUGUGUCAUUUGCUAUUCCUCAGACAGAUGUGGGCUAGUUUAUCAGAGUACACACCUGACCUGCUGACGAUCGCUGAUGAGGAUAUAAAAGUCAAUCUUAAGUAAAUCAGGAGCUGUCUUCUCAGGCGCUAGGUUUUAUGUGUGGGUGUCACAUGCAGGGUCAGAGGACAGCUUUCAUGUUGUGUCAUUUUAUUACUAUAUAAUAACAUUAUGCAAUGUUCUAUAAUAUAUCCAUAAUACUAUUUUGUGCACAUUUCGGUGUAGUUUAUCUUAUGGGUCCUAUGGAUCACAGCCACCUUUAACUAGAGACUAUCUGAUUAAUAUUUAUGAUGGGCAGUGUUUAGGACAUAAUUACAUUAUUCAGUUUUAAGUAUCUCGAACUCUAAACUAAAAACUACAUUUA